rnacentral:rRNA from 1 species
CAUUACUGAACUGUCGACACGAGUUGUUGCUGGUCCUCGAAAGGGGUCACGUGCACGCUCUGUUUACACAUCCACUCACACCUGUGCACCCUUGUAGUUCUAUGGCCUGGGGACUCUGUCCUCUUGCCGUGGUCCUACGUCUUUACACACACACCGUAACAAAGUAUCAUGGAAUGUACGCCGCGUCUAACGCAAUACAAUACAACUUUCAGCAACGGAUCUCUUGGCUCUCGCAUCGAUGAAGAACGCAGCGAAAUGCGAUAAGUAAUGUGAAUUGCAGAAUUCAGUGAAUCAUCGAAUCUUUGAACGCACCUUGCGCCCUUUGGCUAUUCCGAAGGGCAUGCCUGUUUGAGUAUCAUGAACACCUCAACUCUCAUGGUUCGCCAUGAUGAGCUUGGACUUUGGGGGUCUUGCUGGCGUAACUGCCAGCUCCUCUCAAAUGAAUCAGCUUCCCAGUGUUUGGUGGCGUCACAGGUGUGAUAACUAUCUACGCUUGUGGUCUUCCAUCAGGUUACCUUCAGUAAUGGAGGUUCACUGGAGCUCACAGACGUCUCUCCUCAGGGAGGACAAGCUUCUUAACGUUUGAUCUCAAAUCAGGUAGGACUACCCGCUGAACUUAA